rnacentral:tRNA from 1 species
GGGCGGUUAGCUCAGCGGUAGAGCACUACCUUGACAUGGUAGGGGUCACAGGUUCGAACCCUGUACCGCCCCCCA